ensembl:lncRNA
AUGGCAGCGCCGCCCCUUCCCGUUAUGCGAUACCCAAUGAGACUUAGGGCUGAAGAAACAGCUUCUCCGCCCUGGCACUGGAGCAGGCUCUGGCCAGAAAACCGCCCAGUACUGGGACGGGGGCGUGACGCCAGCGGUCGGGCGGAACUACCACUCCCAGCGGGUAGUGCGUCGGGACCAGCCACUCAGGCCGCCAAAGCCCGGCCGUGUGGCCUGCUGGGGGCUGGAGUCUUAACGGCGCGCGCACGUGAAAGAAGGAAGGCGCCGAAGGUGGGAAAGGGUCGGAAAACACACGCGCCUACAAAACCGUGAUAGAUUCCUGUGGCCUUUUAAAUGAUUGAAUAACAAUGAAAAUGGAUCCAAAGUGACUUCUCCGCUGAAGUAGAAGAUUCUUAUUACCUUCCAUUAACUCAAUUUAGUCUUUGGGAACGGGCAGAACAAGUGAAAUACAGAAAACUGAAGAGAAGAAAACCUCACUUUGGAGCUUUCUCCAUGACUGUUCUUAAGCCCUGCCUUUCUACUUGUUUUAGUUUUGCUGUGAAUUUAUAAAUAGUGAAGACCAAAGAAAUAGAAACAUUUGAGAGCUUUAUACCAAGAAAUUUGCCUUGAAAGCUGCUAUUCUUGGAGGGAAAGGCAUAUCAAGUUCCUGUUUUUUGGGUUUUUUUUUAACAAGCUUUCUUAUGUCCGUAGAUUUUGAAGGAUAAGACAAGUAUAAACUCAUACCUGCAGGCUAUUUUUACCAGCUGUGUAAGAAUAAUGAGAUUUAUAAAUUAAGGGCUUUGUAAUGUGGAUGUUUUGCUACUAGAGUUGACUACUCAGAAGAUCUUUUAUAGCUUGUCUGUGUUUUAUUUUUGAUCUGUCACUUCAGUGACAUUAUUUGACCAAACAAAAGUCAUUCUGUCUUUCUAAGCUAUGACCUUGUUAUGAACAGUAUUUGCAUUCACUGUGCAAAUGUCCAUGUAUUAUCUAUUUAAGCAACAUCAUAGUGCCAUCACUCAAGGAAGUUGAAUGAGGUGAACAUUGAUAUAGCUCUUUCCCCUUCCCCCCAUUUUUUAAAUGUAACAAAUACUUUUUAUGUUCCCCUCCCCCUUCCCCUUUCCCCUUCCCCUUUGGGAAACGUGUCAGGAACUAGAUAGUUUAAGAUGAGCAAUUGAGGGGACUGAGAGAUUGAUCCACACAGAGCCUGGAUUCUUUCUGCUUCAUCGUAAGGCAUUCUGCUGGCCAGCCUAAUUAAGUACCCUUUUAACAAGAGAACCUUGUGGAAAUCCAGCUGGCAACUCAAGAAGUUCAGGAAGCAGGACCACAGAGGUUAUACUCUGGGGUAAGUAUCCUCCUAUGUCUAACUUUGGAAGAAGACUGUGUAUGUAUAUGUAUCAUGGAAAAUACCUACUCUUUUCUGAUAUAUUCUGGAGACUAUCAGUGAGGUAGUUUGGAGACACUAAUAGAUCUCUCAGGAAAAUUGAUUCGGAUUAGAAGUUAAUGUGAACUAAUAGAAAAACUCUUGAGAAGUUAUAACUUCCUUCUCUAGGAAGAUUUUUUUCUACUGCUUUUGCCUGAAGUUACCUGAAGCAGAUUAAUCUUUUUUUAUAAGUAUCUAUAAUUUGGGGCUUCCCAGGUGGUGCUGGUGGUAAAGAACCCUCCUGCCAAUGCAGGAGACAUAAGAGACCAUGGGUUUGAUCCCUGGGUCAGGAAGAUCUCCUGGAGAAGGAAGUGGCAGCCCACUCCAGUAUUCUUGCCUGGAGAAUCCCAUGGUUAGAGG